UACGUAGGGUGCAAGCGUUAAUCGGAAUUACUGGGCGUAAAGCGUGCGCAGGCGGCUAUGCAAGACAGAUGUGAAAUCCCCGGGCUCAACCUGGGAACUGCAUUUGUGACUGCACAGCUGGAGUGCGGCAGAGGGGGAUGGAAUUCCGCGUGUAGCAGUGAAAUGCGUAGAUAUGCGGAGGAACACCGAUGGCGAAGGCAAUCCCCUGGGCCUGCACUGACGCUCAUGCACGAAAGCGUGGGGAGCAAACAGG
rnacentral:rRNA from 1 species